AGUGAACGCUGGCGGUAGGCCUAACACAUGCAAGUCGAACGGCAGCACAGUAAGAGCUUGCUCUUACGGGUGGCGAGUGGCGGACGGGUGAGGAAUACAUCGGAAUCUACUUUUUCGUGGGGGAUAACGUAGGGAAACUUACGCUAAUACCGCAUACGACCUACGGGUGAAAGCAGGGGAUCUUCGGACCUUGCGCGAUUGAAUGAGCCGAUGUCGGAUUAGCUAGUUGGCGGGGUAAAGGCCCACCAAGGUGACGAUCCGUAGCUGGUCUGAGAGGAUGAUCAGCCACACUGGAACUGAGACACGGUCCAGACUCCUACGGGAGGCAGCAGUGGGGAAUAUUGGACAAUGGGCGCAAGCCUGAUCCAGCCAUACCGCGUGGGUGAAGAAGGCCUUCGGGUUGUAAAGCCCUUUUGUUGGGAAAGAAAAGCAGCAGGUUAAUACCCCGCUGUUCUGACGGUACCCAAGGAAUAAGCACCGGCUAACUUCGUG
rnacentral:rRNA from 1 species